rnacentral:rRNA from 1 species
GACAGAGGCCCCGAGCGUUAGUCGGAAUCACUGGGCGUAAAGGGCGCGUAGGUGGUUAGGUAAGUGAGAUGUGAAAUCCCUGGGCUUAACCUGGGAAUGGCAUCUUAAACUGCUUAGCUUGAGUGCAAUAGAGGGUAGUGGAAUUUCCGGUGUAGCGGUGAAAUGCGUAGAGAUCGGAAGGAACACCAGUGGCGAAGGCGGCUACCUGGAUUGACACUGACACUGAGGCGCGAAAGCGUGGGGAGCAAACAGG